GUUUUAUUGGUCUAGCGGUUAAGGAUCCUGCGCUCUCACCACCGUGGCCCAGGUUAGAUUCCUGGUCAGGGAACC